GUCCACCUGCAAGCACGAAGGAGCAUCCGUCAGGGAAGGGAGUCAGACCUUGGGGUCUGCAACUUUUGCUCUUCUACCUGCAGAAUUGCGGCUGCCAAGAUUGUGCUAUCUGGUAUUGUGAGGCACUUGCAAGAAGAUUCUGCCUCCCCUUUGCCGGCUGUGCAGAGCAGUUACUUAUUCAAAAUUGUGAACCACCCCUGGUACCUCUCACCUUGAUAAUGCCAACAAUCCCGGGCUCUUUACAGUUGCUGUGGUAGAAGAAGGCUUCCUGGCCAGCUUUCAUAUCCUUCAGGAAAUUCCGUGCCUGCCAAAACAGAAGAGCAGGGAUCAUCUUAUUCAUACCACCAGACAGAAGGGCUACAGAUAAUCCGUAUCUCCUUGCAGGUAAUUAGCACUAUAGCCACCAUGCCUCAUAUUUUGAAGGAGAGGAUGCGAGGCAAGCAGGGGACUCAAAGUUCAGUUCAGUUAUAUUAAACCAUGGAUUGUGCUAACCCUUGUUUAGAACUCGAUGCAGGGAGCCAAAACUCCCAGACAGGCAAACCAUAGUUUUAGAACUAUUUGAUCACUUUCCCUUUCCACAGGACCUCCUCAGCACCCUGGUCUCCAGGGAGCUGGCAAAGCAAGAGGUGGACUGUGAUCUGUCAGUUCAAACAUUGCACCAAACCAUAGUUAGAGCCAACAAUGGAUAACAAACCAUGGUUUCCGGUUCCGGUUUGCUAGCUGAUUAUAAACCAUUACUCGUCAAUCCAGAUGUCAUGCUAACCCAGAGAAGAGGUACUGUUUUCAGCCCAAGGGCCAUGUUCUCUUCUGGGAAACCUUCCAGGGGCCACAUGCCAGUGGAGGGGGGGGCCAGAGGCAAGAGUGGGCAGAGCAAAAAAAAGUGGAUUUUACCUUUCUUUGCUUGACUAGUUUAGACACAUUCACCUGUCCCAUCCAGGCAAGCACGGAACAUCAUCAGAGUUCAAAAACACAUCCCGGCCUAGGCUCAUUCUCAUCAAUGCUAGAAACUAUGGUUUGAAUUUGCAACUCAACUUGUCUUAAAUAUCAACAGCACAGGCAAAAAUAAAAGGUGGAAAUGGACAGCAGAACUUUAAGGUGCCAAAACAUAUCUGUGUUCUCCCACUGUAAGCUUUGAUUGGAAGGCAAGUUGAUUCGAAUCUACACAAUAUCACAUCCAUCCAGAAUAGCUAUUUGCUGCUCAGAACCCCCCUUUUUUGGGGGGUGAGAAUAAAUUUAUUGAUCAAUGCCGUUGCUACAGUUGACUUUACUUACCUGGUAAUUCCUGACUCCGUCCCAGCAUGCUGUCUGAUUGGGUUGAGCUUUUAAAUCUUCAAUGCCAAACUGGAUAAUAAAAUAAAAUAAACAUACAUUACCCAAAAUGCCUAAUUGUGCCUUUAAAAAAGAAAAG